ACCCUUAAGCUAGACUGUCACAGGGUACAACUAUCUCGGUCUCUGGGGUAGGACGCUAUCUGCAGAACUACGCCCUUGCCUUGCGCCGCCGCGCCGCACACGUGUGUACCUGUACCUGUACCCCCAAAACAGCAACACGGGGGUGAGACUAUUGUCCAUAGUCCUCAGUGGGUUUAGCCACCCAAGAGAACAAGCUUAGCCAACAGGUCUAACGAGGCACUGCAACAUGUUAGUUCAACAAUAUACAACAGAUAUAUAUUCAAUUGAAAUACAUGUCCUGCCUCACAAAAUGCAAUAUGCAAUACCUGUAAUCAUGCAAGUAGGUUACUUUAACACUACUUAUGUUCUUAAUCAUUCUUUAUUCUUUGCCAUUUAAUGCUUAGUUUUAGCUCUUAGCUAUUCUUUAUCAUUUAGCUAUUCUUUACUUGUAACCUUUCGUUACAUGUUCUUUAUUCUCAACAUUCUCAAACCAUGCUAUAUUUUAGCCUUUGGCAUUCUAUUCUAAGGUCACUUUACCUUAGUCAACAAGCCACCCGACUCGGUCUUGAGUCAAUCAAUCGCGGAUAGUCCGCGCACUGUCUAGCUCGAGGUGAAGGAACUCUCACAUGCACCUCAGCUGGCAACAGCUCACCGUACUCCUGUCCUAGCCGUCUGGCGGCGAACGAAUCGCACCUCACCCAACAACGGCCUAGGUUCAAUGACUUAGUCACCCGGCGGCGAAAUCGUCGCACACACGCCACGACAGUGGUUCAGUCAACAGGCGGUAGGAUCCACAAACUGGCUAACCAUCCGGCGGCGAAAUCGUCGCACACACGCCACGACAAUGGUUCACUAGCCCCUGGGCGGCGAAAUCGUCGCACACACCCGACACCACUUUGGGUGUAGCAGCAAGCAGCGGGAUUCCGGAAUCCAUAUCACAUCAACCAAGGGUUGGUCUUAACCCUAUGGAACUGACCUCUCUAGGUCUAAGCAUUUAUCUCCUAGGUCCAAUUGACUCUAGGUUCAACAUCCUUUACACAACCUAAGUUAUUACUUUAGGUUUAUUGCUUUCACAUUCUUAACCUAGGUUUAUUAUACUAGGAUCAUCAUUCUUU
rnacentral:lncRNA from 1 species